GGCGGGGGCGCGCGCUGUCGGCGGCGGGCCGGGGGCUGGAGGGACAGGUCUGUGUGCUGGAGGCAUUCGGCGGGCGGAGUCUCGCACGCCGAUACCCGACAAGAACGUGCUAAGAGUCAGUUUCUGGGGAACAAACAUUGGACGAGGAACCAAGACCCUCCUCUUCACUAAAUUGAUGUUGUGUCAGUCAUCUUACCUCUCCUGAUCUCAGUUGCUUCAUCUGUAAAAGGAAAUACAAAUUCUGUACCUGUCUGAAGAUGCGCUGGAGAACCAUUCUGCCGCAACAUUGUGUUCUCAUGGUUACCUGUCUGGUCACUGCCCUUGAAGCUGUGCCUAUAGACAUAGACAAGACAAAAGUACAAAACACUCAACCUGUAGAAAGCGCAAAGAUAGAGCCACCAGACACGGGGCUUUAUUAUGAUGAAUAUCUCAAGCAAGUGAUUGAUGUGCUGGAAACAGACAACCAUUUCAGAGAAAAGCUCCAAAAAGCAGACAUAGAGGAAUUAAAGAGUGGGAGGUUAAGCAAAGAACUGGAUUUAGUAAGUCAUCAUGUAAGGACAAAGCUUGAUGAACUGAAAAGACAAGAAGUAGGAAGGUUAAGGAUGCUGAUUAAAGCUAAAUUGGAUUCCCUUCAAGAUGUAGGCAUGGACCACCAAGCUCUUUUAAGACAAUUUGAUCACCUAAACCACAUGAAUCCUGACAAGUUUGAAUCCAAAGAUUUAGAUAUGCUAAUCAAAGCGGCGACAACUGAUUUGGAGAACUAUGAUAAGACUCGGCAUGAAGAAUUUAAAAAGUAUGAAAUGAUGAAGGAACAUGAAAGGAGAGAAUAUUUAAAAACACUGGAUGAAGAAAAGAGAAAAGAAGAAGAAUCUAAAUUUGAAGAAAUGAAGAAAAAGCAUGAAAAUCAUCCCAAAGUCAAUCAUCCAGGGAGCAAAGAUCAACUAAAAGAGGUAUGGGAAGAGGCUGAUGGAUUGGAUCCCAAUGACUUUGACCCCAAGACAUUUUUCAAAUUACAUGAUGUCAAUAAUGAUGGGUUCCUGGAUGAACAAGAAUUAGAAGCCCUGUUUACAAAAGAGUUGGAGAAAGUGUACGACCCCAAAAAUGAAGAGGAUGAUAUGAUAGAAAUGGAAGAAGAAAGACUUAGAAUGAGGGAACAUGUAAUGAAUGAGGUUGAUACUAACAAAGACCGAUUGGUGACUCUGGAGGAGUUUUUGAAAGCAACAGAAAAAAAAGAAUUCUUGGAACCAGAUAGCUGGGAGACAUUGGAUCAGCAACAAUUCUUCACAGAGGAUGAACUAAAAGAAUAUGAAAAAAUUAUCUCCUUACAAGAGAAUGAACUUAAGAAAAAAGCAGAUGAGCUUCAGAAGCAAAAAGAAGAGCUGCAGCGUCAGCAUGACCAGCUUGAGGCGCAGAAGCAGGAAUAUCACCAGGUUGUACAGCAGAUGGAACAAAAAAAACUACAACAGGGAAUUCCUCCAUCAGGGCCAAAUGGAGAACUGAAGUUUGAGCCACUGAUUUGAUUAAGUGGCCUCGGGCCAUAAUUUAGGGAAACCAGCAGUAAGUGAGAAAGCUCUGCCUAUUGCCUUUAAAAUAAAUUGUGCUCACCCAUAAAGAUAAGUAUUAUUUCACAGGUGCUUCUCAUCUCUCUCAGUAAUGUCUCUUUGGUAGUAACAGUUCUGAAGAGGCUGUAGUAUCUUUUCCCUAGUGUUUCGUGGAAACUGCCCCCCACUUUUAACAGCCUUCUGUGCCAGUCAUGCUUCCACCAAAACGCUCUUGCUCCGCUUCAGGCCAUCUCUCGUUUACAUGUUUGCUCCAGCCCUUUGAGGCAGCUUCCCAGAGGCAGCAGCAGCACUUGAAUUUCAUCCCCUCGGCAAGAAUUGAGCUCCCGGGGAGGCAGAGAAAUUCAUGUGGCAGUGUGACCAUUCCUCUAAACUAAGAAAGAGGCAAGUUGGGACAUUUGUCAGGCAACCUUCCGUUUUCGCCCCUGUCAGCCAUGCUGGCUGCCAGACAUCCAUCUGAGACUCAGCGCUCGCUUGUCCCAUCCCAAAGAGGAACCACCGAAAAUGUGGUCCAGUUUCACACAUGAGCUCAAGGAUCACGGUACCUGGGUGUUGACCUGUUCAUCAGGUUACGUGUGGCUCCUUGUGUUCUGGCCCCUACAAACUAAAAGGCAACUUUUCUGUCCCAAGAGCAGCACAUGCAUAAGGCGUAAAUGUAGGAAAACUGCAUUUAUGUUGACCUUUUAGGAUAGGGAAGAAUUCAAAAAUAGUGGUUACUGAUCCAUAGCGAUCAGAAAGCGCUGCUUAGAAAGAAACAAUCAUCUCUUUGCUCUGGUACUUUUUGUCCCUGCCUCAUUUUUCUGAAAGCACCUGCCUUAGGCAUUGUCCUCCCGGGCCCUUGGCUUUGCCUUCUAGGAGUUUUUUCUUGUCCAUGAAUUUUCAAGGGACAUAUCUGGCUAGGUGUUGUAAAGUAGGCCCUUCUUGGAGGCUGGACAGUCUUAGCAGUUCACUUCCUGUUAUUGUGGGCUCGGAGCUCCGGGCUUGUUGUACCUAGUUAACAGCGACAGGCUCUUACAGACCAAGUUUGAAUCUUUAUUUGUUUUGACCAAAUGAAUUCCUCAAAUUUAGUAAGCUUCUGGUCUGUUUUCUUUAAUCACUUUCAUGAAUAACCACAGCUAUGGCUUUUACAUAAUUUGAAGAUACCAUUUGAAACAAAACACCCCAUCAUUUCCUUUCUGGCCUCUGUGCCACUCCCUGCCCUUGUGCUGGCCUGAGAACUUUCAGACUCCAGGCUGGGGUUGAAUGGUGGCGGGCUGGGCCUGGUCUUUGGCCCUGGGACGGCUCCUAUUACUAACAGAAAAUUCUUACGGGAAGGUUCUUGAAAAAUGUUGAGGAGGGUUUGGUGGCUUCCUAAGCCUUUCCUUAAAACUAUUUCAGCCUGCAGUACAGCAGUCUUGACUUUUUCAGUUCUUCAAGGCUCAUGAUUUGGGAUUUUGUCAGUUUUUAUUGUAGGAAGAGAGCAAGGCCCUCAGCAAAGUUACAUUGCCUUCAUCUCUGCAGACUUGACAUUAGCCUGAGUCACAUUUCUUUUGGAGGACUUUGCUGAAAGAGGCAAGAAGCAGCCUCUAUAUGUUAGUGCUACCACCACCUUCUCUGAUAACUCUCCCUCGGUCUCAUGGCCCAGACACCUGUUUCCUCAGUAAGCAAACCUCCCCAUUCAAAUCUUUGCACCACUUGCUGCACCUUUCUUCCAGCUGGGGUCAGGAUUCUUGGUUGGAGGUAAUGGAAUCUUCUUAAAGAAGAUUCUUCUGUUUCCUUAAACAGAAAGACAUUGGUCAAGGAAUAUAGAUAGCUCACAGGAUGUUUAGAAGGGUGGGAAAAAAAUAGACAUAGGCUGAGCUUCUAGGAACUCAGUUGCAAGAGUGGGCUGAUCAAGAAGCUGCCUGCCACAUCAGGAAGCCACCUGCUGGAUUAGGAAGCCUUGCACAGUUGCCGGCUCUGGAGCUGCAGCGUCUCUACCAUGCUCUGUACCGAUGAAGACGGUGUCUCGUGUCCUGCCUCUUCCCUGAUGGAACGCGGCUCUGAGUGAAAGUCUCCAGUGAGUGCACCAUUUGAUUGGACCAAGCACAUCUGGAACCCCAGCUGCAAUGGAGCUAUGUGAUACAACCAAGAAGAAACUGGAAAGGAGCCAGAAUUAGACAAUGGGGUUCAUCAUUUCUGUGCAAGAUUUAUGUCCUUUGGAGAACCUGCUAGGGAAGCCACCUCCACCCUUAACCACUGGUGCCUCAACUACAGACAUUUAAAAUUCACUUGUUUUUGUUGAAUUUGGGAGACUAAAACAUAUUCAGUAAAAUGCAAAGUUCACUGUUUUUCCUUGUGGGUGAUGGCAAGACAGUAAUGACAAUCCUGUUUUGACAUGUAAGAUUUGUAGAAAAGCAGAUCUUUUCUGUGCUUUUUAAAAAAUAAUGCAACAUUGGCAACAGCUUACCAAUGCUUCCCUCCUGUCUGUUAAAUUGACUUUUUAAAUGAAUAGUUAGUUAUGAGGAUGUAACCCUUUCUUAGAGAACCCAAGAACUGAGCCAGACCCCGUGGCCGCAGCAAGGGGUGAAGUCACUGUAUUGAUAAGUCUGGAUUUACCAUUUCCAGCUCUGCCAACUUGAUGGUUGAUACAAAAGCAAAGCAAAAAAAUUGAGAGUCUUUCAUUUUACAAAUUGAAGUGUUUUCAGAUAUUGCCUAUAGAACUAUGUGAAUAAAAAAAAAACACCUGCGUUUCAUGCACACGGAUGUUUACAGUUUUCACUGUGGAGCUUUCAGGAUUCGUUUUAGGUGAUGUUGGUCAUGCACUCGGUGACUGCUGUGUGCCAGCUUGCUCAUCAGCCAGUCUUUGACAGUGUGUUUCUCCCUUCCUGGUUGCCCUCAAAGCUUUGUCUGCCUGUGUAAACAAGUUGUAUUGUGUUUUUUUAAACAAAAUUUGUUUACAGUCUGUUGCAAACAGUAUUUGACUUUUGCUGUGCAAAUGUGCUUAUUUUAUUUUAAUUUGUGAUUAUACAUAUGUGUAUCACAAAAUCAAAGCACUAAAAUUGGGGCAGGCAGUUGGCACAGCAGCAUAAGUACCUGCUUGGGGCACUUGUUUAUCUCAUUGGAGUCCUGACUGCUUUGCUUCUGAUCCAGUCUUCUGUUGAUGCACAGAAGACAAUGGCACAAGAACUUGCGUCCUUGACACCCACAUGGGACAUCAUGGUGGAGUUCUUCUGAGUUGACCUGGACCAGCCCUGUUAUGGAAUAAAUUAGUGGAUGGAAGAUCCUUCUGUUUUGCUCUUUCUCUGCCUUUAAAAAAGAAAAGUAUAAAAAUAUUUUUGUACCAGCCCUAUAUAUAAUUUUGUGACUCCAUAGAAUUUUAAAAUGAGUAAUAAUUUAAUUUUUACAUGAUUUCAAAAGUUAUGACUUGUCUGAGUGAUUUAAAAGUGAGAGAAAAAAUAAAAUUCCAUCUUACUCUU